UAGCUAGAGUGCCGUUAGGAGUAGAGGGAAUUCCCCGGUGUAGCGGUGAAAUGCGUAGAGAUCGGGAAGAACAUCGGUGGCGAAAGCGCUCUACUGGACGGCAACUGACACUCAGGGACGAAAGCUAGGGGAGCGAAUGGGAUUAGAUACCCCAGUAGUCCUAGCUGUAAACGAUGGAUACUAGGUGUAGCUUGUAUCGACCCGAGCUGUGCCGAAGCUAACGCGUUAAGUAUUCCGCCUGGGGAGUACGCACGCAAGUGUGAAACUUAAAGGAAUUGACGGGGGCCCGCACAAACGGUGGAGUAUGUGGUUUAAUUUGAUGCAACGCGAAGAACCUUACCAGGGCUUGACAUGUCCGGAAUCCCGGUGAAAGCUGGGAGUGCCUUCGGGAGCCGGAACACAGAUGGUGCAUGGCUGUCGUCAGCUCAUGUCGUGAGAUGUUGGGUUAAGUUCCGCAACGAGCGCAACCCUCGUCUUUAGUUGCCAGCAUUAAAUUGGGCACUCUAGAGAGACUGCCGGUGACAAACCGGAGGAA
rnacentral:rRNA from 1 species